rnacentral:rRNA from 1 species
AAUUUGAAAUCUGGCCCUCGGGCCCGAAUUGUAAUUUGUAGAGGAUGCUUUUGGUGCGACGCCUUCCGAGUUCCUUGGAACAGGACGCCUUAGAGGGUGAGAGCCCCGUACGGUUGGACAUCAAGCCUCUGUGAAGCUCCUUCGACGAGUCGAGUAGUUUGGGAAUGCUGCUCUAAAUGGGAGGUAAAUUUCUUCUAAAGCUAAAUACCGGCCAGAGACCGAUAGCGCACAAGUAGAGUGAUCGAAAGAUGAAAAGUACUUUGAAAAGAGGGUUAAAUAGCACGUGAAAUUGUUGAAAGGGAAGCGUUUAUGACCAGACCUUCGCCGGGCGGAUCAUCCGGUGUUCUUCACCGGUGCACUUCGCCUGGCCUAGGCCAGCAUCGAUUUCCGUAGGGGGAUAAAAGCCAUGGGAACGUAGCUCUCUUCGGGGAGUGUUAUAGCCCUAGGUAUAAUGUCCUUAUAGGGAUCGAGGUUCGCGCUCCGCAAGGAUGCUGGCGUAAUGGUCAUCAACGACCCGUCUUGAAACACGGACCAAGGAGUCGAACAUUUAUGCGAGUGUUUGGGUGUUAAACCCUGACGCGUAAUGAAAGUGAACGGAGGUGAGAGCCUUUUUCAGGUGCAUCAUCGACCGAUCCUGAUGUCUUCGGAUGGAUUUGAGUAAGAGCAUAGCUGUUCGGACCCGAAAGAUGGUGAACUAUGCGUGGAUAGGGUGAAGCCAGAGGAAACUCUGGUGGAGGCUC